CAUAUUUUUGUGGUGGGAAUAUCAUAUUGCCCUUUGAAGUGAACUUGCUUUACUUGUGGAGGAAGGCUACGUGCAAACAUCUAUUAAUCAAAUUUGUGUACGGCAAUGAUCCUUGAUUUGAAGACCAAGAGUUAUCUCUAAUGUAUUACUCUUCUUAUUGGUCUUUUACAAAAAUUAGAAAUCUAAUUCUUGCGGUAACUUGGUGUUUUGGUUCUUCUCCUGCCCUGUCUCUAUUGCUUGGUAGGAAAAAACAGCCAAAUUAGUAACCGACAGAUGUUUGCAC
rnacentral:misc_RNA from 1 species